rnacentral:lncRNA from 8 species
AAGAGAUAGUGGCCUUCCCCAGUGAGGAGAUGUUGGACCUGAAUGUAAAGAACUCCACUCUCCUAGAUGUCAGCCAUGCUGAGGACAUCCACAUGCAGCAGCCUCCUAACCUGUCCUCCAUCAUUGGUAAGCGAUACAGCACAAUACUGGACAUACAGGAUGUUACCCCAAAUGGCACCCUAUUGACUUUAUAGACUACUGUUUUGACCUGCGCACCUAGUGCACUACUUUUGACCAGAGACCGAUCUUGGGAAAAUGGUGCCUUUUGGGACAUAACCCAAGUUUUUGUAAUUCUUUUUUAAAAAAUGUUUAUUUUAAGGAACCUGAAACCUUGUCAACCUUGGAGAGGUUUAGUAUUCCAUGCUUCCUUAUCUGCGCAAAAUGUAAUUUUUUUUCUUUGCAGACAUUUCCCAAAUGAAUGAUGAAAAAGAUCAGGAAAAAAGGUCAAUUUGAUUGAAUGGCCCUUCUCUUUGUAUAAGAUGUGAAAUUUUAUUUUUCAUAGAAUGAAUAGUCAUUUAUAUUCUAACAAAGAGCCUUUAUUUGUUUACAGACGUUUAGCGCUACCCAUUAGAAGUACAUAUUCAGACAAGCUGUUCAAUGCCUAUGUGUCAGUUGAAAGCACACCCCUAGCUGGAGGAGUAACUGUGCCCUCAGUCCCCAAGAAAACACAAAGGGUAUGAAAACGCUCACCUGUCUUGUAUUUCUCAGAUUCUAUCUGAGCUACAAGUGGCAUGUAAAGAGAAACUGUGGCUCAUCUGCAAGUGUAAGAAUGUCAGUUAGUAAUGAAGUCCUCCUCUCACAGCCAGUGACGAUUAGACCCAGGAAGAUCAAAUGCAGGAAGAGAGUCAAAUUUAGUGACUCUGUUACCACUGAGAAGAUGGUAGUGAACAAUGUGGAGCCUGUCAGUGACCACACGGUCAGUGAGAGGACCAGAGACACAGUAGACAACAGAGAGACUGCUGCCCCUGAAGUAGUCCCUCAAGUCCUGAAAAGACCCACACAUCACUCACCAGAGCAAGCCAAGUUCUUUGACUUUGCAGACGAGAAAGAAAGAAACACCUUCUUUCAAAAGUUGAGGAAGAGGUACUCCUCCGUGAGGAGUAUAUUCGCCAAUGUUGGUGGGCGUUCGACAGAUGCAUUUGAAGAUGAGGGUAAUGUUUGGUAAGCACAAUUUCUACAUAGGAUGAAGUCCUGCAGAUAUUAGUAAAAUGGUUGGUUCCUAGGAUAAAAAUGUCUUGCAGAAAUGUCAUUACUAGGGUUGCACAUUUUGGGGUAUAUUCAGAGGUGGAAACUCCCGUGGGAAUAUAUGGGUAUUAAUGGGAAAUAAUGGAAAUGUAUGCAUAUUAAUACCAUUUAAAUGUAAUGUUUUUUGCAUUGGAUAUAUUUACCAUAUCAUAUGGAGAAAGAAACAAACCUUUUACCUUAUCAAAAGUAGACAUAAUUGCAAAUGAUUAAUCCUUCCAAUAGAAAAAAAAACAACUAUUUAGUUAUGAAUUGAACUUUAAUUAAAUGAGUUGACUCUUCACAUGGGAUGAUUUCACUGAACAACAAAAGGGAAUAUUGAAUUAUCCCCAAUGAUCCAUCGCAUCUCCCAAAAACAUUUAACACAUCUGUAAAAUGAGUCUAGAAACUAAAGCUUUGGUUGUCUUCCAUGUUUUCUCGCUGGACCUCCUCAAUGUCCACCUCUUGAACAUCAGACUUUGAGGCCUCAUCUUCUCUGUCACUUUCCAAAUUUGUUGAAGAUGGCUCGUUGUCGGGCUCAAAAAGGCUCAAAUUUGCCCGGGUGGCCACCAAUUUUUCAACCCGUGUAUUGGUCAGCCUGUUGUGUGCUUUGGUGUGUGUGUGUUCCCAAACAAGGACCAGUUGCGCUCUGAGGUGGCUGAUGUUGGUGGGAUUUGGAGGAUGAUGGAGGCAACAGGGGAAAGAGCCUGAGAUCUACAAAGUCACUUCCACCAGGUGGCUAAUGAGAUAUGUUGGCACGACUGCCAUAUUGCAUCUCCAUCCCAAAGCCCUUGCUUGGAAGUGUACUUUGCCAGACUGCCAAGAACCUUGUCCUCAUCCAGGCCAAGGUGGCGAGACACGGUAGUGAUGACACCAUAGGCCUUGUUGUUCUCUGCACCAGACAGGAUGUUCUUGUCAGCAUACUUGGGGUCAAACAUGUGCGCUGCGGUGUGUAAGGGCUUCAGGCAGAAGUCAUCACGCUUUUUGAUGCAUUUCAGAACUGCAGUUUCCUCUGCUUGGAGCAACAGUGAAGUGGGCAGGGCAGUAUGGAUUUCUUCUCUUACAUCUGCAAGCAGAGUCUGAACAUCAGACAGGAUGGCAUUGUCUCCCUCAAUUCGUGCAAUGGCUACUGCUAUAGGUUUCAGGCUGCUUACCACUCUCUCCCAAAAUACAACAUCCAGGAUGAUGCUCUUGAUGGGGCUGUCCAUAUCAGCAGACUGAUAUGGUCAUUUCUUGGAGAGACUCCUCCCCUCCAGGAGACUGUCAAACAUGACGACAACACCACCCCAACAGGUGUUGCUGGGCAGCUUCAAUGUGGUGCUCUUAUUCUUCUCACUUUGCUUGGUGAGGUAGAUAGCUGCUAUAACUUGAUGACCCUUGGCUCUAUUGUAGUGUAUCCAUUGUUUCCAGUGCCAUUAUGUCCUUGAGGAGCAGAUUCAAUCCAUGAGCAGCAUAGCCAAUGGGUGUGAUGUGAGGGUAGGACUCCUCCACUUUAGACAAAGCAGCCUUCAUGUUCGCAUCAUUGUCUGUCACCAGUGCAAAUACCUUCUGUGGUCCAAGGUCAUUGAUGACUGCCUUCAGCUCAUCUUCAAUGUAGAGACCGGUGUGUCUGUUGUCCCUUGUCUGUGCUCUUGUAGAAUACUGGUUGAGGGGUGGAGAUGUAGUUAAUUAUUCCUUGCCCACUAACAUUCGACCACCCAUCAGAGAUGAUUGCAAUACAAUCUGCUUUCUCAAUAAUUUGCUUGACCUUCACUUGAACUCUGUUAAACUCUGCAUCCAGCAAAUGAGUAGAUAAAGCAUGUCUGGUUGAAGGGGUGUAUGCUGGGAAAAGAACAUUCAGAAAUCUCUUCCAAUACAAUUUGCCUGUGAGCAUCAGAGUUGAACCAGUUGCAUACACAGCUCGAGCAAGACAUUCAUCAGCAUUUAUCUGACUCUGUUCCUCCAUUGAAUAAAAAAAAGUGUCUGAUUCCAGGAGGAACUUGCUAUCUAUAAGGUGUCUGAUUCAUCAUUUUCACCUCAAAUAGAAGAAGAGGGACUUUUGUCAGAGCUUGCUUGUUGUGAGAGCUGAGGGAACUUUAUGCACUUGGCUAGAUGAUUCUGCAUCUUUGUUGCAUUCUUCACAUAUGAUUUGGCACAGUAUUUGCAAAUGUACACAGCUUUUCCUUCUACAUUAGUUGCAGUGAAGUGUCUUCACACAUCAGAUAGUGCCCGUGGCAUUUUCCUGUAAAGAUUAGUAAAACAAAUACAAUUCCAUGUACAGAUAAAUAGUUAAGCAGUUAGAUUAAACAACUCUUUUGUAGGAAAUGUUUUAAAAUGAAACAUGUAUGGAAACAGGUGAAUUAACACUCCUCAGUUAGCAGGCUCAAGCAAGCUAAAACUCACAUGGUAGCAAAAACUAACUAGCAGAAAUUGUUAACAAGUUAGAAAUGAUUUAAACACACUUUGCUGUAGGCUACUAUUUACUAGUUAACAAAAAUUCAUGUAUGUCAUAUAAAAUAUAUUCACCCCACCCAGUAUUUUAAUCAAAACUUACCAGAAAGCAUGUAGUCCUUGGCUCAGACAGUCUAGUAGUCUGAGCUCAAUAGCAUCUCAUUAGUGUGCAAGAUCUUGAGAAUCAGCUGUACAUGUGAUGGAAGAGUGCACUCUGUGAAUGCAGAGGGUUGCAAUUCUUUUGAAUUAGGGUUAACAAAAAUAUGCCACAAGACGUAGAAUUGCCUUGUGUAUCCCACUAAAAAGGUUCACUUGUAAUAAGCUAACUUUUCUUGAUGAAUUUAAGCAAAAUUCCCGGGCUUAACUUCCCAUGGAAAAUUUUCGGUAAUUUACCGGAAAGUUUCUGACUGCGUCCUCUCAAGUAUUUCCAUGGGUAGGGCCAGGAGUUUUUCCUGACCAAUGUGACCGGGCCUGCGGACCUUCUGUGGCUAAUUCUGUGGCAAAACAAUUCUUAAAUGGAAGCAAACUGAACAAAAUACUUGAAUAGAAACUCUCGCUUUGUUCCUGUGUGGCUAAGUUGGUAUGGUGGGACCAGUACAGAAAAAAGUAUGAACAUUUAUUCACUCACUACUGUAAGUCGCUCUGGUUAAGAGUGUCUGCUAAAUGACAAAUAUUUUCAUGUAAAAUGCUCUGUUUACUGUUUGAAAACCAAAUGGAAGCAAACAGUUUCCGUAGGUAAUACGCCCCAGGAAAAGCUCUUGGCUCUAGUUAUUAGCUGUAAAUCGGGCUUGAGUUUUUCCUACUCAGGAGAAAUCCCUACCGCCUUAUCCAUUAAACAUUAUACUGUUUUGUUUUUAUAAUUUAUAGUAAUGGUUGAGUAUGAUUGAUCUGCUGUUACUUUUGUUCAUUUUCCAUUGUUAUUUAAUAUUGUGCUUUAUUCACUCUGCAGUUCAAAGAUAUAAGUACCCAGUAGUUAAAAGGCUGAACCAUCUGUGCAAAGUGUACCGCUUCCAGUCCUCCAGGAAGUAAAGCCACCACAACUUGUAAAAGCUGUCGUCAAUAACGGUGAGAAAGCAAACAAACCACAUUGUCUGAAGCUCAUAUUUGAACCAUAUUUUACAUGCCAUUUUCUCUAAGUAUUAAUCUCACAAUGCCCAUUUUAUUCAUUCUCUUUUAGGACACUUCUGAUCCCUAAAGGUUUUCACAUGGACAGACAGGUUGUUGUGGUUAAAUAAAAUAAAAAAUGAAAUUCUGUUGCUGUAAUAGAUAAUGUAGAUACAUAAUGUACAAUUAUUUUAAUUUAAUCAACAUAAUAAAUUGAUAAAAUUACAGUUCUGCUGUAUUUGAGCUUAUUAUUUGACUAAACAUGUGACAUAUAUUUCAGGCAUAGAAUUGGACUGUGAUGUAUACAAAUUAUUUAUUUAUGUUUUAGGUGUUGAAUGUACAUUUUUAUUUGGUGUCUUGUAUUCGAACUUUCAGCCAAAACAUAAACAGAGUGAUUAUUUUGACCACGUGGUGCUUGGCCAAAAAUAUCAUCCAAUCAAGUGUUUUCGAGAAGGAGCAGUGGAUCGUCGUCCAAUCAGAAAACUGUAGUGGGUUUCCAAGCAGUUCGUGUGACUAAUUCCUGUCAUAUGACUCUGCCACAAAUGGAGUUAGUUUCAAGGAACUAGGGCUGCACUUGGAUUUGGA